UUCUGCAUUGUAAGUAAAAUGUUGCAGAAUUCAUAAAGUGGUAACACUGUGUGGAAUUCCCCAUUUCUGUUACAAUUGAAGUAAAUUUUAAAAUGCUGUAUUCAUAUCUCUAUUUUUAUAUUUUAGAAUUGCAUUUCAUCUUCCCUAGACAAAAUUAUCAAUAUUAUUUGUUUUCAUUUUCAGCGAUUUCUAGGAAAAUAAAUUAAAAACAAAAUCGUGUAUAAAAGCCAAUUUCGAACUAAAACACAAUUCGAUUGUAAAUUGAAUUCUGCUAGCGUUAAAUCUCCGUGAAUAUGUUAUUCCUCAAAUUUAUAUUAGCUUUUGUUUUAUUAAUUUCGUUGGUUUUUGGAAUUCCUUUAGAUGAAAAUAAAUUAUCUGAAAAUAUGAUGAUGGAUAGUGUAUUCAAUGAUCGAGUACUUUCAAAGCGACAAAUAAGAUGCCCCAUUAAGCCAGUAAUUGUCCCUGGUUAUGGAGUUUUGAUGUAUCCAAAGUGUGAUUAAAUAAAUAUUUUUUAAAUAGAACUUGUGUUAUUAUUUUCGUUGAAGAACUUAAUAAAAUAAAAAAACUUAUACAAUUUA